rnacentral:rRNA from 1 species
CCUACAGGGCGCAGCAGUGGGGAAUAUUGGACAAUGGGCGAAAGCCUGAUCCAGCCAUGCCGCGUGUGUGAAGAAGGCCUUCGGGUUGUAAAGCACUUUCAGUGGGGAAGAAAGCCUUGGGGCUAAUACCCUCGAGGAAGGACAUCACCCACAGAAGAAGCACCGGCUAACUCCGUGCCAGCAGCCGCGGUAAUACGGAGGGUGCGAGCGUUAAUCGGAAUUACUGGGCGUAAAGCGCGCGUAGGCGGUCUGAUAAGCCGGUUGUGAAAGCCCCGGGCUCAACCUGGGAACGGCAUCCGGAACUGUCAGGCUAGAGUGCAGGAGAGGAAGGUAGAAUUCCCGGUGUAGCGGUGAAAUGCGUAGAGAUCGGGAGGAAUACCAGUGGCGAAGGCGGCCUUCUGGACUGACACUGACGCUGAGGUGCGAAAGCGUGGGUAGCAAACAGGAUUAGUACCCGAGUAGUC